rnacentral:rRNA from 1 species
UCAGGCCUAACACAUGCAAGUCGAGCGGUAGCGGGAAGAGCUUGCUCUUUGCCGACGAGCGGCGGACGGGUGCGUAACACGUAGGAAUCUGCCCGGUAGUGGGGGAUAGCCCGGAGAAAUCCGGAUUAAUACCGCAUACGCACCAGCUCUUUAUGAGCGGUGGAAAGCAGGGGAUCAGCUUGCUGACCUUGCGCUAUCGGAUGAGCCUGCGUCGGAUUAGCUUGUUGGUGGGGUAAAGGCCUACCAAGGCGACGAUCCGUAGCUGGUCUGAGAGGAUGAUCAGCCACACUGGGACUGAGACACGGCCCAGACUCCUACGGGAGGCAGCAGUGGGGAAUAUUGCACAAUGGGCGCAAGCCUGAUGCAGCCAUGCCGCGUGUGUGAAGAAGGCCCUAGGGUUGUAAAGCACUUUCAGUGGGGAGGAAAAGUUGAAGGUUAAUACCCUUUGGCUGUGACGUUACCCACAGAAGAAGCACCGGCUAACUCCGUGCCAGCAGCCGCGGUAAUACGGAGGGUGCGAGCGUUAAUCGGAAUUACUGGGCGUAAAGCGUGCGUAGGCGGCCACCUAAGUUGGAUGUGAAAGCCCCGGGCUCAACUUGGGAACUGCAUCCAAAACUGGGUGGCUGGAGUACGGGAGAGGAGUGUGGAAU